rnacentral:lncRNA from 7 species
AAAGCCUGUGAGUCGGCUCGCUGUUAGCUGCCUUCCCGCUGCGCCACUCCUGCCAGAUCCUGGAAGAAUUGUUAUCUGUGACUGUGAAGAUUUCCUUUAUUCCCCUUUUGCUGAGGUAUCUAGAGAGACUGAGCUGAUAGUUGCUGAACAGUAAAGAAAAGCAACACCUGUUUUUCUCUGUUGUCUGCAGCGGAAGGUGCAUGUGCCAGAGAGAAAAUGAGCCACCUCCUAGGAGUUGGGGUGAGGGUCAUGCACUGCUGCUCGGGGCACCUGGCGAGCUCUGCAAGUGUGACCACCAUGCCACAGGUGGAACUGCCACAGGGUCAGGGCUGCCUGCUGUGACCUGAGCAUCAUUGUAUCCUGAUGGUUCCUGCAGCCACGAGAAACUCUCACAUCUGCACAAGAAAGCAACAACUUUUUCCACUAUGCAAGAGGAUGCUGACAACUCAAUUUUGGUCCCUGGCUGCCAAAUUCAACUUGCAACAGGCAACUCCUGGCAGAAUAGAAGAAUUUUUUUGUGUGUGUCCUGCUUGCCACAUGCAAAUCCCUUCAGUUGAUAUUAUAAUAGAUGUGGAUCCAUAAGGCUUUGCUGCUUACCUUGUGGGCUAUCUCGCUGACCUGCAGGAAUUCAAAGUAUCUUCCCAUGAAAGCUCUCUUUCACCUGUAUGAUAGUUGGCUUAACUCCCGAGGAUUGCAGUGCCCCAGAUGUGCUGAAUCCAGCUGGAUGUUCUCCAUUUGAUCCUUUCUUAUUUACACCCUUGCAUGCACUAUAGUUCAAUGACUGCAAUUUGAGCACUCCUUUCUCUCUAGCUCAAUAGUCCCCAACACACCACCUCCCUGAUGUGUAAUCACCCAGGAGACAUAAUCAUUCACUC